CUGGAGUGAUGAUGCUUAGCCAAAUCAGAUACAUGCUCCAAGAGGCAUUUCAGCAAAUUGUUUGCCUCUUGUUGUAGCGUGUCUUGGACGAUACCACAGGGAAUGGUUUUUGCCUGACCAGA
rfam:Arabis alpina cultivar Pajares chromosome 8, whole genome shotgun sequence.